rnacentral:rRNA from 3 species
UUGAACUGAAGAGUUUGAUCCUGGCUCAGAUUGAACGCUGGCGGCAUGCCUUACACAUGCAAGUCGAACGGCAGCACGGGUGCUUGCACCUGGUGGCGAGUGGCGAACGGGUGAGUAAUACAUCGGAACA